rnacentral:rRNA from 1 species
GAUGAACGCUGGCGGCGUGCCUAAUACAUGCAAGUCGAGCGAACGGACGAGAAGCUUGCUUUUCUGAUGUUAGCGGCGGACGGGUGAGUAACACGUGGAUAACCUACCUAUAAGACUGGGAUAACUUCGGGAAACCGGAGCUAAUACCGGAUAAUAUUUUGAACCGCAUGGUUCAAAAGUGAAAGACGGUCUUGCUGUCACUUAUAGAUGGAUCCGCGCUGCAUUAGCUAGUUGGUAAGGUAACGGCUUACCAAGGCAACGAUGCAUAGCCGACCUGAGAGGGUGAUCGGCCACACUGGAACUGAAACACGGUCCAGACUCCUACGGGAGGCAGCAGUAGGGAAUCUUCCGCAAAGGGCGAAAGCCUGACGGAGCAACGCCGCGUGAGUGAUGAAGGUCUUCGGAUCGUAAAACUCUGUUAUUAGGGAAGAACAUAUGUGUAAGUAACUGUGCACAUCUUGACGGUACCUAAUCAGAAAGCCACGGCUAACUACGUG